UACGAAGGGGGCUAGCGUUGCUCGGAAUCACUGGGCGUAAAGCGCACGUAGGCGGACUCUUAAGUCGGUGGUGAAAUCCUGGAGCUCAACUCCAGAACUGCCUUCGAUACUGAGAGUCUUGAGUCCGGGAGAGGUGAGUGGAACUGCGAGUGUAGAGGUGAAAUUCGUAGAUAUUCGCAAGAACACCAGUGGCGAAGGCGGCUCUGGCCCGGUACUGA
rnacentral:rRNA from 1 species